rnacentral:lncRNA from 1 species
GCCGAUGGUCCAGUUGCUCCGAAAGGGCAAAAAAUUCGUCUGGGACGACCAAUGUGAGGAAAUCUUCAAACAAUUCAAGGAGUUCCUCACAUCCCCGGCCGUCAUCCAGAAGCCGAGGCCCGACAACCCAAUCCUGGUAUAUCUAGCAGUCUCGGAAGAAGCAGUCAGCGCUGCCCUAGUGCAGGAAGCCGAGGGCGAGGAGCGACCCGUAUACUUUGUCAGCCGAACCCUCCACUCGGCCGAGACCCGAU